rnacentral:rRNA from 1 species
AUUGAACGCUGGCGGCAUGCCUUACACAUGCAAGUCGAACGGCAGCACGGGAGCAAUCCUGGUGGCGAGUGGCGAACGGGUGAGUAAAGUAUCGGAACGUGCCCAGUCGUGGGGGAUAACGUAGCGAAAGUUACGCUAAUACCGCAUACGAUCUAUGGAUGAAAGCGGGGGAUCGCAAGACCUCGCGCGAUUGGAGCGGCCGAUAUCAGAUUAGGUAGUUGGUGGGGUAAAGGCCCACCAAGCCGACGAUCUGUAGCUGGUCUGAGAGGACGACCAGCCACACUGGGACUGAGACACGGCCCAGACUCCUACGGGAGGCAGCAGUGGGGAAUUUUGGACAAUGGGCGAAAGCCUGAUCCAGCCAUGCCGCGUGCAAGAUGAAGGCCUUCGGGUUGUAAACUGCUUUUGUACGGAACGAAAAGGACUGCCCUAAUACGGUGGUCCCAUGACGGUACCGUAAGAAUAAGCACCGGCUAACUACGUGCCAGCCGCCGCGGUAAGAC